rnacentral:lncRNA from 1 species
UCCCCUUGGCGUGCCAUCCCGUGUCACCUCAUGUCUCCUUGGCGUGCCAUCCCGUGUCAUCGCAUGUCACCUCGUGUCCCCAUGGCGUGCCAUCCCAUGUCACCACGUGUCACCUCGUGUCCCUGUGGAGUGACAUCCCGUGUGAUUGCAUGUCACCUCGUGUCACCUUGGCAUGCCAUCCUGUGUCGCAUCAUGUCACCUUGUGUCCCCUUGGCGUGCCAUCCCAUGUCACCCCGUGUCACCUUGUGUCCCCAUGGCGUGCCAUCCCAUGUCAUCUCACAUCCCCAUGGUGUGCCAUCUCAUGUCACCCCGUGUCACCUCGUGUCCCUGUAGCAUGCCACCCUGUGUCACCUCGUGUCACCUCGUGUCACCCCGUGUCACCCCGUGUCACCUUGUGUCCCCCCGUGUCCCCGCAGGCGGUGGCGGACGCGUGGCUGGAGGUCUACACGCGUGACCGCACGGCGGGCUUCCUGCAGCUGCUCAACUUCAUCGUCCGCUCCUGCGGCUGCCGAGGGAUGGUGACGGCGGCGAUGCUGGAGGAGAUGGACAACGCCGACAUCAUCCGCUGGCUGACGGAGCAGUUCCAGGAGGUGGGGACAUGGGGACAUCGUGGGGACAUCACGGGGACAUGGGGACAUGACAGGGACACGGGGACAUCAUGGGGACAUGGGGACGUUGUGGGGACAUGGGGACAUGACAGGGACACGGGGACGUGGGGACACAGGGACAUGGGGACGUUGUGGGGACAUGACAGGGACACGGGGACGUCACGGGGACGUGGGGACAACAUGGAGACAUGGGGAUGUUGUGGGGAUACGGGGACGCAGGGACACGGGGACAUGGGGAUGUCAUGGGGACGCGGGGACAUCAUGGGGACAUGGGAACAACGUGAGAAUGUGGGGACAUCGUGAGGACAUGGGGACGUUGUGGGGACAUGGGGACGCGGGGUGUCCAACGUCACCGCGUCCCCCAUCCCCAUGGC